CCUACGGGUGGCAGCAGUGAGGAAUAUUGGUCAAUGGCCGAGAGGCUGAACCAGCCAAGUCGCGUGAGGGAUGACGGCCCUACGGGUUGUAAACCUCUUUUGUCGGGGAACAAAGAGAGUCACGUGUGGCUCAUUGAGAGUACCCGAAGAAAAAGCAUCGGCUAACUCCGUGCCAGCAGCCGCGGUAAUACGGAGGAUGCGAGCGUUAUCCGGAUGUAUUGGGUUUAAAGGGUGCGCAGGCGGAGGUGCAAGUCAGUGGUCAAAGUGCGGGGCUCAAACCCGUACUGCCGUUGAAACUGCAUCCCUUGAGUGCGCGAGAAGUAUGCGGAAUGCGUGGUGUAGCGGUGAAAUGCAUAGAUAUCACGCAGAACUCCGAUUGCGAAGGCAGCAUACCGGCGCGCAACUGACGCUCAUGCACGAAAGCGUGGGUAUCGAACAGGAUUAGAUACCCCAGUAGUC
rnacentral:rRNA from 1 species